UGAUCCUGAGCGACCUGCUUGUUUC
rnacentral:piRNA from 1 species